GGGAGGGAGGCUGUGUAUGGCCUGAAGGUAGCAGAGGAGGAUCAUAGUCGAGACUAAGGUUGACAGGUCGGAUCCUCAGUACUCACGCACUGCACCAUUUCUAUCAGAGGGCCAUUUGUCAAACGACAUUCGGAAUACCACUUGCAAUGUGCAGGUAGGAUUCAGCUACUGAUGAUCACUGCGCCUGGACCCAGCCCACACAGACUGGGCGAAUCCAUGGCUAGGCAAAGUGAUCGGUAACAAGCAUCACAACAAUAAAAGCGGUGGCGCGGCUCUGGUGUCAUGGUUCGACCUCUUCGAUGAAAACCAAGCACCAACAAAAAUAAACCCGUCACAGAUUUCCUGGGGAAAGACAUCUUGCAGCGGCGGCAGGGAGGUGAGGUGAGCGGAGCUGAGCUGAGCUGCUGACUGUCACUGACAUGCUCCUGUCCGCCAGAAGCGGCCUCUCUGCGGCGCUCCUUCUCUCCACUCUCUGGCGCCAAGCAGCAGCGCCAUGUCUCUGAUGGGACCCACGCGUAAUUAUUGGAUAACCACAAGUAAAGGAAAACAUUCUCUGGCUGCUGCAAACCAUUUUUUUAAAAAGGAAUUGGGACAAAAGAACUUCAACUACAAAACCAAGAAUUUCAAAAUUGUAAUUAGUAAUCUAUUCAUAAUCUCCACUGCAUGUGCACAUCUAUCUGUUCUUUGUGAAUAGUUCAGACAC